rnacentral:rRNA from 1 species
UACAGAGGGGGGCUAGCGUUAUUCGGAAUUAUUGGGCGUAAAGGGCGCGUAGGCGGCCUGUUAAGUCGAACGUGAAAUCCCCGGGCUCAACCCGGGAACUGCGUCCGAUACUGGCAGGCUUGAAUCCGGGAGAGGGAUGCGGAAUUCCAGGUGUAGCGGUGAAAUGCGUAGAUAUCGGGAGGAACACCUGUGGCGAAGGCGGCUUUCUGGGCCCUACCUGACGCUGAGACGCGAAAAGCGUGGGGAGCGAACCGG